rnacentral:rRNA from 1 species
GCAAGUCGAGGGGCAGCAGACUACUUCGGUGGUGCUGGCGACCGGCGAACGGGUGAGUAACGCGUUUGUAACCUACCCCUAACUGUGGCAUAGCUCCCGGAAACGGGAAUUAAUUCCACAUAAUAUUUAAACAUGGCAUCAUGUUUUCAUUAAAGCUCCGGCGGUUAGGGAUGGGCAUGCGUGACAUUAGCUUGUUGGUAAGGUAACGGCUUACCAAGGCUACGAUGUCUCGGGGGUCUGAGAGGAUGAUCCCCCACACUGGUACUGAGACACGGACCAGACUCCUACGGGAGGCAGCAGUGAGGAAUAUUGGGCAAUGGACGCAAGUCUGACCCAGCCAUGCCGCGUGCAGGAUGAAUGCCCUAUGGGUUGUAAACUGCUUUUAUACAGGAAGAAACCCUCUGACGUGUCAGAGGUUGACGGUACUGUACGAAUAAGCAUCGGCUAACUCCGUGCCAGCAGCCGCGGUAAUACGGAGGAUGCAAGCGUUAUCCGGAUUCAUUGGGUUUAAAGGGUGCGUAGGCGGGGCAAUUAGUCAGUGGUGAAAUCCUGCGGCUUAACCGUAGAACUGCCAUUGAUACUGUUGCCCUUGAGUAUAGUUGAGGUGGGCGGAAUGUGUAAUGUAGCGGUGAAAUGCAUAGAUAUUACACAGAACACCAAUUGCGAAGGCAGCUCACUAAGCUAUAACUGACGCUGAGGCACGAAAGCGUGG